rnacentral:misc_RNA from 1 species
GAUGAAGAACGUAGCAAAAUGCGAUACUUGGUGUGAAUUGCAGAAUCCCGUGAACCAUCGAGUUUUUGAACGCAAGUUGCGCCCGAAGCCUUUUGGCCGAGGGCACGUCUGCCUGGGCGUCACGCAUCGCGUCGCCCCCCACAAUUCUCCGUAAAGGGAACGUGUGUUUUGGGGGCGGAUAUUGGUCUCCCGUGCUCAUGGCGUGGUUGGCCGAAAUAGGAGUCCUUUCGAUGGACGCACGAACUAGUGGUGGUCGUAAAAACCCUCGUCUUUUGUUUCGUGCUGUGGCUCGCAAGGUAAACUCUUUAAAAACCCCAAUGUGUCGUCUCUUGACGACGCUUCGACCGCGACCCCAGGUCAGGCGGGACUACCCGCUGAGUUUAAGCAUAUCAAUAAGCGGAGGA